GCUUAGAGAGGGGUCAAUGUCCUAUCAGCUAGUUGGUAGGGUAAUGGCCUACCAAGGCUAAGACGGGUAGCCGGCCUGAGAGGGUGGUCGGCCACACUGGGACUGAGACACUGCCCAGACUCCUACGGGAGGCUGCAGUCGAGAAUCUUUCGCAAUGCCCGAAAGGGUGACGAAGCGACGCCGCGUGUGGGAAGAAGGCCUUCGGGUUGUAAACCACUGUCGGGAGUUAAGAAAUGCAAGGGUGUUAACAGCAUCCUUGCUUGACUAGGGCUCCGGAGGAAGCCACGGCUAACUCUGUGCCAGCAGCCGCGGUAAUACAGAGGCGGCAAGCGUUGUUCGGAAUUAUUGGGCGUAAAGAGCACGUAGGCGGCUUUGUAAGUCAGUUGUGAAAGCCUUCUGCUCAACGGAAGAACAGCAUCUGAUACUGCAAGGCUAGAGUGCGGAAGGG
rnacentral:rRNA from 1 species